AAUGUCAACUGUCAGUCGUUGUCAAAAUGUUGAACAGCUGAAGUCAGAGAUACGGAAAAGUUAUUUUUAUUCGGAAAAUCGGAUUGUUUUUCAGUGUAAUUAUUUAAUAUAAUAUCAAAAUGUGUAGUCUAUCUUCUCGUCUGUUAAAGUUUCCAGCGGAAUUCGCUGCAAUACGCAAAGUUACAUGCAUACCAACAUCAAGAGUUCUGGCAGUAACAGCAAAUGAUACAUUUGAUUUACAGAGGAAGUAUUAUUAUACCGACAGGAAUUAUGAGCAGCACGGGAGUAAAUAUUCUUACAAGCACUUUUGCUUAUCUGUAUUAUUCGGCGCCGCGGCAUAUGUCUCGUACAAGUACUGGGCACAGCACCAGUUAUUGCCAUCAAUAAAUGCUGCAGAAGAAUUAUCUGAGAGUGAAUCUGACAGUGAAGUUGACACUAAGAAGAAAAGAUAUAGGAAAGAAAAAAUUGGUUUUCGUGACAGAAAGAUUAUUGAAUAUGAAAAUCGUAUGAGGUCAUACUCAACCCCAGAUAAAAUAUUUAGGUACUUUGCCACAGUGAAAUUGACUCUUGGUGAACAUACAGAGAUAUACAUGACUCCUGAUGACUUUUUACGAGCUAUCACACCCGGCAUGAAACAGCCUGAUGGUUUGGGACUGGACCAGUAUAGAAGAUAUGACCCCAAAAGGGAGCAGAUACUCUUCAAGAAGAAUAAAGAAAGUUUACAAAAAAGCAUCAGUCAACGUCUCAACCUCGACUUGGACGAAGAUUCGAUUUUCUAUAAACUCGGCUCUUCCGGACUCAUUACGUUCAGUGACUACAUAUUUCUUCUGACUGUAUUGUCAACAUCUCGCCGCCAUUUUGAAAUAGCGUUCCGUAUGUUCGAUUUGAACGGAGACGGUGACGUGGACUGCGAGGAGUUUGAGAAGGUUGCGGCUCUCAUUCGACAGCAGAGCAGCAUUGGGUCUAGACAUCGAGAUCACGCGAACACGGGGAACACUUUCAAGGGUAUCAACUCAGCGUUAACAACAUACUUCUUCGGACCUCAUCUCAACCAGAAGCUGACUAUCGAAAAGUUCUUAGACUUCCAGCAUCAAUUACAAAAAGAAAUAUUGUCUCUCGAGUUCCAAAGAAAACAACCUGAUGAAAAUGGUCGUAUUACGGAGGCGGACUUUGCAGAACUUCUGUUGGCCUACGCUGGCUACCCGGCUAAAAAGAAGGCGCGUAUGUUGAAACGUGUCAAAAAGACUUUCCGAGACCAUGGCAUCGGUAUAACCAAGGACGAUUAUCUGAAGUUCUUCCACUUUUUGAACAACAUCAAUGACGUGGACACGGCGCUUACAUUCUACCACAUAGCGGGCGCGUCCAUAGACCAGCCAACUCUACGCCACGUCGCCAGGACAGUCGCACAUGUGGACCUAAGCCCUCACGUCAUCAACGUCGUCUUCACUAUAUUUGAUGAAAACAUGGACGGUCAGCUCAGCAACAGGGAAUUCGUCGCAGUCAUGAAGAACAGAUUGCUUCGUGGUUUAGAGAAGCCGAAAGACACAGGUUUCGUCAAAUUAAUGUAUUCCCUUAUCAAAUGUGCGAGGGACACCAAACCGGCGAUACUUGACUUUUAAAGGUAUUCUUAGACAAUUUUUCUUCUAAAAUAUAUUUAAUUACGGGAGGGGAUCGACAGUUAAGAAGAAAUCUUGGAUUAUGCCUCAAGUAUGUCGUAAUGUCAUCAAAUGGACUUGAAGAUAAGAGUUGCCAUUUUGCCUUGAAAUAACUGUUGAGUAACAGCGGUUUCAUUAGAAAAAGUCUACAUGUUUUCCUGUGCUAUACCAAAGUAUUCUUGUUUCUAAAUUAAAUCAUGUAUUAAAAAUAUAAUGAAAUGAUAAACGUAAGGUCAGGUUACACAAAGUUCCUUGCGCAAUGGUUUUUGUUUUAGCGCAAGAAAGAACUGCGCAAAAAAGUUACCUAGGGAAUAUGGAAUAAUAGAUAUGUAUUUUACUCGACUGCCAAGAAAGAUGUAAACUGUACAUACACUUUAUUUACCAGCAUUUUCUUAUAUCGACUUAAGACAAAAAACAACAAAUACAAUAUGUUUUCAAUAUCUAACAGAUGGACUACAUAGAUGUUUCUGUUAUGUUCCCUGUUAUAAUAUAAGUACAAUUACGAUACUGUUUGCCGUUUUUAUAAUAAUAUUACAUAAAAUUUAAUACGCCUGCACUGUUUAUAAAAUUAAAAAGCUUUCCGCACUAAAUAAUAAUUCACAUUACUUAAAUACCAGUUCAUAAAAUUCUUUUUUCAAAAUCAAAGAAUGUAGUUCCUAUUUUUUCAUUUAAAUUAACGAAUUAAAAUGGCGUCUUCGUCAAAGUAUUUGCGCAAUUAUUGCGCUAGUGAAAGUUUUACGCAUAAAAUGGAAGCAUUAUUUGUUGUUAUUUUCUCAUGUAAAUUAUGAAUAUUAUCUUCAUUGCACAAACAGUGAUUGAUCUAUACUCUAUAGAUAGUACCAAAUGAUCUGUAUUUAACGAAUCAAUUAAUUUAAUCCUGUUUUAUUUAUAAUUUUAUAUUAAAUUAAAUUAUUUAAGCUCUCUAUUCUGGUCAUAUUAGUUACAUAUUUUUUUAGUUAUUGAUUUUAUGAAUAAGUAAGUUACUUGACUGAACUUUAGUUAAAAUAACAACGUUUUAAUUUUAUUGUGUUCAAAAACCUAAUAUUCUGUUAGUGAAAUUAGUUGGCGAUGUCAAACACUAUUUCGUGAAUUCAUUGUAAAAAUAUUAUAAAAUAUUAUUUUGUAAAAUUAGCAUAUAUUUAUUAAUGUUGAAAUAGAUGUUAUUUUAGUUGUAUCAUGUAUAGAAUUUAUAAUUGUUUCAGUGAAUAUCUUGUAUGUAUAUAUGUAUUGUUUAUUUUGAUCAAAAUCAAGUAAUUGUUGGAUAUUUUUUAUUGUGUAUUUACUACUAAACUACAGUACCGUAAAACAUGGCAACUUUACCAUAUUUUGGAACAAAAAUCGAAAUAUAUUUUUAACCAUAAGACGCAUAGAAACCAAAACUAUAUAUUUAGAAUUGUAGUCUAUCUGGCUCACUUUACUGUAAGCGUCAUUAUAUACAAACGCUUACUUUAGCCGUAGUAAAGAAAAAACAACAUGGGUAAAGAUACCAAAUUUUUGGCAACUUUACCUACGCGCCGUAUUCAUCGUGUAUUGCAUAUUAAAGAGUUGUUGAGGUACAGAGGGCUUCAUCUAGGACCU